rnacentral:rRNA from 1 species
CCUACGGGAGGCAGCAGUGGGGAAUAUUGGACAAUGGGGGCAACCCUGAUCCAGCCAUGCCGCGUGUGUGAAGAAGGCCCUCGGGUUGUAAAGCACUUUCAGUGAGGAAGAACGCCUGGUGGUUAAUACCCAUCAGGAAAGACAUCACUCACAGAAGAAGCACCGGCUAACUCCGUGCCAGCAGCCGCGGUAAUACGGAGGGUGCGAGCGUUAAUCGGAAUUCCUGGGCGUAAAGCGCGCGUAGGUGGCUUGAUAAGCCGGUUGUGAAAGCCCCGGGCUCAACCUGGGAACGGCAUCCGGAACUGUCAAGCUAGAGUGCAGGAGAGGAAGGUAGAAUUCCCGGUGUAGCGGUGGAAUGCGUAGAGAUAGGGAGGAAUACCAGUGGCGAAGGCGGCCUUCUGGACUGACACUGACACUGAGGUGCGAAAGCGUGGGUAGCAAACAGGAUUAGAUACCCCGGUAGUC